rnacentral:rRNA from 1 species
GGAAUCUUUCACAAUGGGCGAAAGCCUGAUGGAGCAACGCCGCGUGCAGGAUGACGGCCUUCGGGUUGUAAACUGCUUUUAUAACCGAGAAAUAUGAUGGUAAGUUAUGAAUAAGGACCGGCUAACUACGUGCCAGCAGCCGCGGUCAUACGUAGGGUCCAAGCAUUAUCCGGAUUGACUGGGUGUAAAGAGUUGCGUAGGUGGUUUGUUAAGUAGGUAGUGAAAUCUGGUGGCUCAACCAUUCAGACUAUUACCUAAACUGAUGAACUCGAGAGCGUUAGGGGUAGCUGGAAUUUCUAGUGUAGGAGUGAAAUCCGUAGAUAUUAGAAAGAACACCGAUAGCGUAGGCAGGCUACUGGGACGUUUCUGACACUAAGGCACGAAAGCGUGGGGAGCAAACG